rnacentral:rRNA from 1 species
AUAGCUGGUUUCUCAAGAAAAGAAUUUUAGUCCAACCUAAAGUAAUUUUACCCCAAUUAAUUAACCCCACUACUUUAGAGCAAUUCAAAUGAGGUACAGCCCAUUUGAUACAGGAUACAACCUUCACUUACGGGUUAAACCCCAACUUACACCUCAAAGUAGGCCUAAAAGCAGCCACCUUUUAAAAAGCGUCAAAGCUUAGCCCCGACGGUAUUAAUUCAUACACCCACAUUAACCCCUUCACCUGUACUGAGAACUUCUAUAACCCUAUAGAACCUUUUAUGCUAAAACUAGUAACAAGAGAAAACCCUCUCAUAAUGCAAACAUAAGCCAGCAAGAACCCAUCACUGGCAAUUAACAACCCUGAACAAAAGUAGCAACCUCACUAGAAAACCCUACUUCCACAAUUGUUAACCUAACACCAGAGCAUUUCAAGAAAGAUUAAAAGAAAAAGAAGGAACUCGGCAAAUCCAUGUCCCGCCUGUUUACCAAAAACAUCGCCUCUUGCUUCCCAUAAGAGGUCCAACCUGCCCAGUGACCCUGUUCAACGGCCGCGGUAUCCUAACCGUGCGAAGGUAGCGUAAUCACUUGUUUUCUAAAUAAAGACCUGUAUGAAAGGUAUAACGAGGACUAAAC